rnacentral:rRNA from 1 species
GGGAUACCCGCUGAACUUAAGCAUAUCAA